CCUACGGGUGGCUGCAGUAAGGAAUAUUGGUCAAUGGAGGCAACUCUGAACCAGCCAUGCCGCGUGCAGGAAGACGGCCCUAUGGGUUGUAAACUGCUUUUGUACCAGAGAAAACCCCGGUACGUGUACCGGGUUGAUAGUAUGGUAAGAAUAAGCAUCGGCUAACUUCGUGCCAGCAGCCGCGGUAAGACGAAGGAUGCAAGCGUUAUCCGGAUUCAUUGGGUUUAAAGGGUGCGUAGGCGGACCUGUAAGUCAGUGGUGAAAUCUCUCAGCUU
rnacentral:rRNA from 1 species